rnacentral:rRNA from 1 species
GCGCGAAAACUUUACACUGCGCGAAAGCGCGAUAAGGGGACCUCGAGUGCGUGCGCAAUGCGUACGCUUUUCAGAUGCCUAAAAAGCAUCUGGAAUAAGGGCCGGGCAAGACCGGUGCCAGCCGCCGCGGUAACACCGGCGGCUCAAGUGGUGGCCGCUAUUAUUGGGCUUAAAGGGCCCGUAGCCGGACCAGUUAGUCCCUUGGGAAAUCUUACGGCUUAACCGUAAGGCUGCCAAUGGAUACUGCUGGUCUUGGGACCGGGAGAGGCAAGAGGUACCUCAGGGGUAGGAGUGAAAUCCUGUAAUCCUUGAGGGACCGCCAGUGGCGAAGGCGUCUUGCUAGAACGGGUCCGACGGUGAGGGACGAAAGCUAGGGGCACGAACCGGAUUAGAUACCCGGGUAGUCCUAGCCGUAAACGAUGCGAGCUAGGUGUCACGUGGAUUGCGAAUCCAUGUGGUGCCGAAGGGAAACCGUGAAGCUCGCCGCCUGGGAAGUACGGCCGCAAGGCUGAAACUUAAAGGAAUUGG